rnacentral:rRNA from 1 species
UACGUAGGGGGCUAGCGUUGUCCGGAUUCAUUGGGCGUAAAGCGCGUGUAGGCGGCCAGAUAGGUCUGCUGUGAAAACUCGAGGCUCAACCUCGAGUCGUCGGCGGAAACCAUUUGGCUAGAGUCCGGAAGAGGAGAGUGGAAUUCCCGGUGUAGCGGUGAAAUGCGCAGAUAUCGGGAAGAACACCUGUGGCGAAGGCGGCUCUCUGGGACGGUACUGACGCUGAGACGCGAAAGCGUGGGGAGCAAACAGG